rnacentral:lncRNA from 1 species
UCAAUAAAGUUAACUGUUGUGAAUUUUCAGAGUAAAAUAUCAGUUUGAAUUAUGGUUACUAUUUUUAAGGAUCCACCAAAUCAGAAAAUAAUUGAUUGCCGUUAAUUAAGAUAGAGAUAAUUGUAGCUGAUUUUAUUUCCUUGAAUUUAGUAAAAUAGAGAUAAUUGUAACUGAUUUUAAUUCCUUAAAUUUAGCCAAAACAGUUAUAUUAUACAU